ensembl:misc_RNA Metazoa_SRP Metazoan signal recognition particle RNA
GCCGGGCGCGGUGGCGCGCGCCUGUAGUCCCAGCUACUCGGGAGGCUGAGGCCGGAGGAUCACUUGAGUCCAGGAGUUCUGGGCUGUCGUGCGCUAUGCCGAUCGGGUGUCCGCACUAAGUUCGGCAUCAAUAUGGUGACCUCCCGGGAGCGGGGGACCACCAGGUUGCCUAAGGAGGGGUGAACCGGCCCAGGUCGGAAACGGAGCAGGUCAAAACUCCCAUGCUGAUCAAUAUAGCUAUGCUUACAUGUUAUACAUUUAUUUUUUUUUUAAGAUUUACUUUAUUUAUU